UGUCAAGGGAUGGGAAUCUAACCCACGACCUUCCGCUUACCGGGCAGAUGCCAUGACCACUAGGCUACCCUGGAC
rnacentral:tRNA from 1 species